rnacentral:lncRNA from 12 species
AUGACUUUUAAGAGGAGUUCAGUCUUGCUAGACAAAUGUGAAAUUAGUGGGACAAUUGAAAUGGGAGGAACAAGAUUCUCAUUCUUCAGUAUAACAAGUAUUUUUAGGGAUCAGGAUGAACACACAGAUCUCCAGCAAGAAAUGGAAACUGAAAUUUUGAGACUUCAGAUCAAAACUUUGAAAAUGGUAUCAGUUAUGGAGAGAAUACAGCAUUCUAUGUCCUCUUUUGCUAGGUCAUAUUUCAAAAGCCACAACAUUUCCAUGAAUCUGUCUCAUUAACUGGAUUUUAGGGAAUCACCCCGGCAAGAAUGUUCUUUCUUAUUUCUUCCACAAGAAACACCAAUUACUUAGGUAUUUCCUAAAUUUUACCUUAAGACAGAACUUAGAGUUAAAUAGACCUUCUGGAUAAAAUCUGGAGAUAAUAUUCUAUGACUUUGGUGCCACAGAAUUUUCAUGUAUUUAUUAUUAUUCUGCCAACAUUUGUGCAAAAGUGCCCUAAGAAUAGAUAUAAAUAUGCAUGAGUGGAAUUCUUGGUGUCUUCAGUUGGGUUUCCUAAAGGCAGAGUGUAAGCAGGGAUUUAAUUUCACAUAUGCAUUAAGGGAAUGUUCAUCAGGAAAAGCUUAUAAAGAAGAGAGAAAUGCAUAAUAAAGAAGGGAACUGAGACUAGUACA